rnacentral:rRNA from 1 species
CUCCAGACUCCUACGGGAGGCAGCAGUGGGGAAUAUUGCACAAUGGGGGAAACCCUGAUGCAGCGACGCCGCGUGAGCGAUGAAGUAUUUCGGUAUGUAAAGCUCUAUCAGCAGGGAAGAAGAUGACGGUACCUGACUAAGAAGCCCCGGCUAACUACGUGCCAGCAGCCGCGGUAAUACGUAGGGGGCAAGCGUUAUCCGGAUUUACUGGGUGUAAAGGGAGCGUAGACGGCGGCGCAAGCCAGAUGUGAAAGCCCGGGGCUCAACUCCGGGACUGCAUUUGGAACUGUGUGGCUGGAGUGUCGGAGAGGCAGGCGGAAUUCCUAGUGUAGCGGUGAAAUGCGUAGAUAUUAGGAGGAACACCAGUGGCGAAGGCGGCCUGCUGGACGAUGACUGACGUUGAGGCUCGAAAGCGUGGGGAGCAAACAGGAUUAGAUACCCCGGUA